UUGUGCAGCAACCAUGUUGACAAGCUGGCAUCUCUUUGUUCUAUUCUAUUGACUUCUUGUGGCAUUAUGUAUGAAGCCCUUUAAGCACAAACCUUUCGACGCAAGGACUGUCAUGGGAUUUGGAGUGCUCAAUGGCAUCUUAAUUGGACUUCUCAACCAGAGUCUAGGUUUCAACUCUGUUGGUUUCUAUCAGAGCAAGUCGAGCGCAUUAGUUGGAUCCAGCUUCUUGAUAUUGCAGAGGACUCGUCAAAAGAUAUACAGGGUUCUCGGCUGGCUGCGAAGAUUUGACAAGAGGCACAAGUAAAAUAGAUCAUCUCUUGUGACUCUCAAGAUAUGUAUCCAGAGGGCAAGUCAGGUCUCGAAAUGCUGACUGAAUAUUCCAUGGCCUUUGUUUUUCUUGCUAGGUGGAUUACUACUUCCUUGGAUAUUUUCAGAAAAUAAAUGAAAUGUGCAGACCGACAACAUGGACGGCAGGUCUUGCGGCUCCCAGCGCCCUCAACCCCCCACUGACCCUCUCUCAAUUUUGAUCUCUCCUCUACUCUUCUGGGUGGCGGUGAGAGCGGGUGUGAAACAGUAGAGGCGGGAGAGGCGGCCAUAGGAAGUAUAUGAUAGGAAAAGAAUUGCUCUAUGGCAGUGCUUUGACUCGGUGACCAGAGACUGACUGAGUGUGCUUGCAGUUUGAGGUUGAUUUUUUCUGGUAUACAUAUAAUUGGAGGUAGGCGCCAUGGACGCCGCUCUUGUGCUCAUCAAGGUCUGCUGCUCCUUGUUCCAGUCCCAUGACAAGCAGCAGCAGUAGCAUCAUGGUUGGGUUGGAGCUACAGUGGCCAGCCACCGGGACGACACUGAUAGCCAAAGAAAGCUCCUUCUCCACCGCUGACAGCCAAAACCACUCUUGUGCUCAUCAAGCAAAGGGUCUCGCCACCGCGCGCAGUCCACCUCUCCCCGCAGGCAUGCCGGCCACCUCCCCACCUGACGCACAUCUUUCCCAUGGGGCCAUGGAACACGGCUGUGUCACUUGUAUUGAGCACACCAAUCUGCCUCGGUAGACGGCUGCUGAAGUUGACCCACAGGUUGGAGACAAAGAUAGUGUGACAAUUGACUGACCUUGACAUGUUUGAGAAUUAGGCAAUUGAUUGUGCCAUUUCUCUGCGCAUUGGUACUUACUUUUAAAACUGGUAGAUUUUAAGAAAUAUUUCCGAUGCAUUAUAGAAUGCCACCAAAACAGAAUAACUCUCCUGCCU